rnacentral:lncRNA from 1 species
AAAGUGUGUUUCAAACGUGCUGUAUGAAAGGGAAUGUUCAACUCUAUGAGUUGAAUGCAAACAUCACAAAGAAGAUUCUGAGAAUGCUUUUGUCUAGAUUUUAUAUGAAGAUAUUCCCGUGUCCAACGAAAUUUUCAAAGGUCUCCAAAUAUCCAUUUGUAGAUUCUACAAAAAGAGUGUUUCCAAACUGCUGUAUCAAAACAAAGGUUGAACUCUGUGAGUUGAGGACACACAUCACAAAUAAGUUUCUGAGAAUGCUUCUGUCUAGUUUUUAUUUGAAGAUAUUUCCUUUUUCACCAUAGGCCUGAAAGCGCUCGAAAUAUCCACUUCCAGGAAGUCCAGAAAGAGUGUUUCAAACCUGCUCUAUGAACGGGAAUGUUCAGCUCUGUGAGUUGAAUGCAAACAUCACAAAGCAGGUUCUGAGAAUGCUUCCGUCUAGAUUUUAAAUGAGGAUAUUCCCGUUUCCAACGAAAUCCUCGAAGCUAUCCAAAUAUCCAUUUGCAGAUUCCACAAAAAGAGUGUUUCAAAACUGCUCUGUCAAAAGAUAGGUUCAACUCUGUUAGUUGAGUACACACAUGGCAAACAAGAUUCCGAGAAUGCUUUCGUCUAGUUUUUUUGGGAAGAUAUUUCCUUCUUCACCAUAGGCCUCAAAGCGCUCCAAAUAUCCAUUUGCACAUGCUAUACAAAGAGUGUCUCAAACCUGCUGUAUGAAUGGGAAUGUUCAACUCUAUGAGUUGAAUGCAAACAUCACAAAGAAGUUUCUGAGAAUGCUGCUGUCUAGAUUUUAUAUGAAGGUUUUCCCGCUUCCAACGAAAUUUUCAAUGCUCUCAAAAUAUCCUCUUGUAGAUUCUACAAAAAGAGUGUUUCCAAACUGCUGUAUCAAAACAAAGGUUCAUCUCUGUUAGUUGAGGACACACAUCAGAAAUAAGUUUCUGAGAAUGCUUCUGUCUAGUUCUUAUUUGAAGACAUUUCCUUUCUCACCUUAGGCCUGAAAGCGCUCGUAAUACCCACUUCCAGAUACUACAGAAACAGUGAUUCAAACCUGAUCUAUGAAAGGGAAUGUUCAACUAUGUGACUUGAAUGCAAACAUCACAAAGCAGUUUCUGAGAAUGCUGCUGUCUACUUUCUAUUUGUAAUCCCGUUUCCAACGAAAUCCUCAGAACUAUCGAAAUUUCCAAUUGCAGAUUCCACAAAAACAGGGUUUCAAAGCUGCUCUGUAAAAAGAAAGGUUCAACUCUGUUUGUUGAAUACACACGUCACAAACAAGUUUCUGAGAAUGCUUCUGUCUAGUUUUUAUGGGAAGAUAUUUCCUUUUUCACCGUAGGCCUCAAAGCGCUCCAAAUGUCCACUUCCACAUACUACAAAAAGAGUGUUUCAAACCUGCUGUAUGAAAGGGAAUGUUCAACUCUAUGAGUUGAAUGCAAACAUUACAAAGAGGUUUCUGAGAAUGCUUCUGUCUAGAUUUUAUAUGAAGAUAUUCCCGUUUCCAACGAAAUCCUCAAAUCUAUCCAAAUAUCCACUUGCAAAUUCCACAAAAAGAGUGUUUCAAAACUGCUCUGUCAAAAGGAAGGUUCAACUCCGUUAGUUGAGUACACACAUCACAAAGAGGUUUCUGAGAAUGCUGCUGACUAGUUUUUAUUUGAAGAUAUUUCCCUUUUCACCUUAGGCCUAAGAGC